AGGGAAAGUCUCAGACAGCCCUCAUUUUCCUCCUGAGAGUAAACUCAUUUUGGAAGUUCACCAUGGCCUAUGCUCUGCUGUGCUUGUCAUUGUUUGGUUGUUGGGCAGGUGUCCGUUCACAGGGAAUGGUGACUCAACCUCCCUUUGCGUCUGUGUCCCAGGGAGAAACAAUUAAACUUUCUUGCUCCAAAAGUAGUGACAACUGGUACCAGUAUACUAGCUGGGUUCAACAGAAGUCCAGAGAGGCCCCCCGUUUUGUGCACUGCAAUGGCUGCAGCAGCAGGGGACCAGGGAUCCCAGAUCGGUUCACGGCAUCUGUUUCUGGGAACGAUGCCUAUUUAACCAUCACAAACAUUCAAGCUGAAGAUGAGGCCAAUUAUUACUGUAUUGCUUGGUCGAACAGUGCUAACGUGUGUCACAGUGCUUUAAUCUGA